CAUCAGAAUGUAAUGGUAGGCAAUAUUAUUAGUAAAGGGGGAGGAACAGUUCCUAGAGAAUCAGAAAAUUAAUGUUAUUCUGUCGUCUUGGGGAGGAAUCUGUCCACUUUCUGAAGUCAGUGACGCCUGGAAGGCUGCUAAGAACCCUCAAUUUAAGGUCUUCAGAUGGAGUGGAUACCCAGUAUACAGCAGGAUGUGAUGGGGAACAACAACUCAAGGAUCAACACUCUGGAGUUUUACUGGAGAUUUUAGUUGUUAAUAGUACCUGGUAAACUUUUUUCUUUCUUUCUUUUGUUAACCUAGGCUCAAGGGCAGAUUUUUCGGAUGCUUAUUUCAGAAGACCGAGGAGUCUCCAGGUUGCAGAUCAUGUAAAGGCUAUUUAGUGUUAGACAAGAGCCCACUCUCGGGUCCUGAAAGGGGUCCCCCUUCCAGCAACAACUGGCAAUCACAAAGGGACCCCUGUUUACUGUGGCUGACACCCCGACCACUCAGGGUACUCAAGAACCAGCUCGCAUGCUGACGGAGCAGACCCAGCAACCACAACCGGGACCCCUUUGUCCCUGAUCUCUUUCCUGAACAAUGGCUGGAGUGCCUCGACCAGUACUGGACUCAGGAGUCUGAUUGAAGGGCCUCAGCCUGAGCUGAGGAUCACAGCUUGAUCACCUCCAGUUGGCAGAGAACUCGAAUUCUGGUUCUGGUCUGAUCUCUGGUUUCUGGUAGGGCUGAGUUCCAGUCCUCCUUUCCUGGAAGCCCAGGAGAAAAUUCCCAUAGCAUCUGGGCAUCUGCAGGUGGCAAGACGACGACCCAAGGUAUUUCUGUUUACUCCAUCCGUCGAUACUCAGACCUGAAGUUUUGAGUCUUUGUGAGAGAUUAUCUGAGAGACCACGAUCUCUCCUCCCCAUAAAUUGUGGUUUCUGUUCUUGGGGAGAUAAUCGAGCAAUAGGAGCCCUCCAUCAGGUGCCCUGUUUCUAUAAAUUCAGCCGUUUGAUUGUUCAUUUGGCCGAGUGCUCCAAAUGGAAGUGAUUGAUGGGGCUCAGUAUAGUCGCACCUGGUCUUGGGUGAAAGUUAAUACCCUGGACGUAUGUCUAGGGGUUAAUUCACCUUUUGGGGCCAGCCCUACAGCCCCUCUGAUUGUGCUUACUGCUGAGCAUUUCCUUUGGCUCAUGUACAACCAGGUGAUCUGAGACCAAGAGAGAGCUUGCAACCUCUCUAGAGUCAGAUAUUUGACAGAGGAGGCAAAAACAUACAAUGGAGAAAAGGCACUCUCCUCAACAAGUGGUGCUGGGAAAACUGGUCAGCUGUGUGUAGAAAAAUGAAAUUAGAACACUUUC